AACGCUAGCUACAGGCUUAACACAUGCAAGUCGAGGGGCAGCAUGAGCUUAGCUUGCUAAGCUUGAUGGCGACCGGCGCACGGGUGAGUAACACGUAUCCAACCUCCCGCUUACUCAGGAAUAGCCUUUCGAAAGAAAGAUUAAUGCCUGAUGGUAUCUUAAGCACACAUGUAAUUAAGAUUAAAGAUUUAUCGGUAAGUGAUGGGGAUGCGUUCCAUUAGGUAGUAGGCGGGGUAACGGCCCACCUAGCCGACGAUGGAUAGGGGUUCUGAGAGGAAGGUCCCCCACAUUGGAACUGAGACACGGUCCAAACUCCUACGGGAGGCAGCAGUGAGGAAUAUUGGUCAAUGGGCGCGAGCCUGAACCAGCCAAGUAGCGUGAAGGAUGAAGGUCCUAUGGAUUGUAAACUUCUUUUAUACGGGAAUAAAGUGGUCCACGUGUGGGCUUUUGCAUGUACCGUAUGAAUAAGCAUCGGCUAACUCCGUGCCAGCAGCCGCGGUAAUACGGAGGAUGCGAGCGUUAUCCGGAUUUAUUGGGUUUAAAGGGAGCGUAGACGGGGGAUUAAGUCAGUUGUGAAAGUUUGCGGCUCAACCGUAAAAUUGCAGUUGAUACUGGUUCCCUUGAGUGCAGUUGAGGCAGGCGGAAUUCGUGGUGUAGCGGUGAAAUGCAUAGAUAUCACGAAGAACUCCGAUUG
rnacentral:rRNA from 1 species